UGAUAGUCAACUAUUCCACUACUGAGC
rnacentral:piRNA from 1 species